rnacentral:rRNA from 1 species
UGGGGAAUAUUGCACAAUGGGCGCAAGCCUGAUGCAGCGACGCCGCGUGAGGGAUGACGGCCUUCGGGUUGUAAACCUCUUUCACCAGGGACGAAGCGCAAGUGACGGUACCUGGAGAAGAAGCACCGGCCAACUACGUGCCAGCAGCCGCGGUAAUACGUAGGGUGCGAGCGUUGUCCGGAAUUACUGGGCGUAAAGAGCUCGUAGGUGGUUUGUCGCGUUGUUCGUGAAAACUCACAACUCAAUUGUGGGCGUGCGGGCGAUACGGGCAGACUAGAGUACUGCAGGGGAGACUGGAAUUCCUGGUGUAGCGGUGGAAUGCGCAGAUAUCAGGAGGAACACCGGUGGCGAAGGCGGGUCUCUGGGCAGUAACUGACGCUGAGGAGCGAAAAGCGUGGGGAGCGAACAGGAUUAGAUACCCUGGUAGUCCACGCCGUAAACGGUGGGUACUAGGUGUGGGUUCCUUCCUUGGGAUCCGUGCCGUAGCUAACGCAUUAAGUACCCCGCCUGGGGAGUACGGCCGCAAGGCUAAAACUCAAAGGAAUUGACGGGGUCAUAGCUGUUUCCU